rnacentral:rRNA from 1 species
AAAUUGAAGAGUUUGAUCAUGGCUCAGAUUGAACGCUGGCGGCAGGCCUAACACAUGCAAGUCGAGCGGUAGCACAGAGAGCUUGCUCUCGGGUGACGAGCGGCGGACGGGUGAGUAAUGUCUGGGAAACUGCCUGAUGGAGGGGGAUAACUACUGGAAACGGUAGCUAAUACCGCAUAACGUCGCAAGACCAAAGUGGGGGACCUUCGGGCCUCAUGCCAUCAGAUGUGCCCAGAUGGGAUUAGCUAGUAGGUGGGGUAAUGGCUCACCUAGGCGACGAUCCCUAGCUGGUCUGAGAGGAUGACCAGCCACACUGGAACUGAGACACGGUCCAGACUCCUACGGGAGGCAGCAGUGGGGAAUAUUGCACAAUGGGCGCAAGCCUGAUGCAGCCAUGCCGCGUGUGUGAAGAAGGCCUUCGGGUUGUAAAGCACUUUCAGCGGGGAGGAAGGCGGUGAGGUUAAUAACCUCACCGAUUGACGUUACCCGCAGAAGAAGCACCGGCUAACUCCGUGCCAGCAGCCGCGGUAAUACGGAGGGUGCAAGCGUUAAUCGGAAUUACUGGGCGUAAAGCGCACGCAGGCGGUCUGUCAAGUCGGAUGUGAAAUCCCCGGGCUCAACCUGGGAACUGCAUUCGAAACUGGCAGGCUAGAGUCUUGUAGAGGGGGUAGAAUUCCAGGUGUAGCGGUGAAAUGCGUAGAGAUCUGGAGGAAUACCGGUGGCGAAGGCGGCCCCCUGGACAAAGACUGACGCUCAGGUGCGAAAGCGUGGGGAGCAAACAGGAUUAGAUACCCUGGUAGUCCACGCCGUAAACGAUGUCGAUUUGGAGGUUGUGCCCUUGAGGCGUGGCUUCCGGAGCUAACGCGUUAAAUCGACCGCCUGGGGAGUACGGCCGCAAGGUUAAAACUCAAAUGAAUUGACGGGGGCCCGCACAAGCGGUGGAGCAUGUGGUUUAAUUCGAUGCAACGCGAAGAACCUUACCUGGUCUUGACAUCCACAGAACUUUCCAGAGAUGGAUUGGUGCCUUCGGGAACUGUGAGACAGGUGCUGCAUGGCUGUCGUCAGCUCGUGUUGUGAAAUGUUGGGUUAAGUCCCGCAACGAGCGCAACCCUUAUCCUUUGUUGCCAGCGGUUAGGCCGGGAACUCAAAGGAGACUGCCAGUGAUAAACUGGAGGAAGGUGGGGAUGACGUCAAGUCAUCAUGGCCCUUACGACCAGGGCUACACACGUGCUACAAUGGCAUAUACAAAGAGAAGCGACCUCGCGAGAGCAAGCGGACCUCAUAAAGUAUGUCGUAGUCCGGAUUGGAGUCUGCAACUCGACUCCAUGAAGUCGGAAUCGCUAGUAAUCGUAGAUCAGAAUGCUACGGUGAAUACGUUCCCGGGCCUUGUACACACCGCCCGUCACACCAUGGGAGUGGGUUGCAAAAGAAGUAGGUAGCUUAACCUUCGGGAGGGCGCUUACCACUUUGUGAUUCAUGACUGGGGUGAAGUCGUAACAAGGUAACCGUAGGGGAACCUGCGGUUGGAUCACCUCCUUA